GGAAAUGUAAACGAGGAAAAUAACUAAUAAAAAAAAAAAAGAAAGAAGGGGAAAAAAAAAGAAAAGAAAUUAGGGCCUUUCUGAGACCUGGUGGUGUAUGCUGCAGAGCUCAGGCCAGUCUGCUCCGUCCUGACUCACCUCUGUUCGAUUUUGCUGAGGAAUAAGUCAGUCAGGAAGCCGCACCUCCGCCAUGGCAUUUAAAGAUACCCAAGUGGCGAUUCACCAAAUUCGAAUCACGCUCACCAGCCGCUCGCUGGAGAAGGUUGGUACGGACUUGAUCAGAGGUGCAGAGGAAAAGAAUCUGAAAGUGAAAGGACCGGUGUGCACACCUACCAAGACUUUGAGAAUCACUGCCAGAAAAACACCUUGUGGUGAAGGUUCCAAGACAUGGGAUCGUUUCCAGAUGAGGAUCCACAAGCGACUAUGAUUUACAUAGUCCUACUGAGAUUGUUAAGCAGAUUUCUUCCAUCAGUAUUGAGCCAGGAGCUGAGGUUGAAGUCACCAUUGCAAAUGCCUAACACAACUGAAUAAAUCGACUUGUUCAAUUAAAAAAAAAAAA